rnacentral:lncRNA from 1 species
CUCGUGUCACCUGAGAACUGUGCAGACUUUCCAUUAUUGGAGGAUAUUAAAGGCAGCUGAGCGAAUUGGCUUGACCCCUUAUUGGAUAUCCAGGAUCAAUGGAAAUCAGAGAAAGUGAGUUGCAUAUGGAAUGAGCCCGUUCCCCAGAGGCCAGGCCCUCUGUCUUGCCAUGGAUGCUGGAAGGAAGCCGUGACAGAGCAAAGCAGAAGCCGUCAGGGAAAGAAGAGGAAGCAUUUGUGAGUUACGCAGUUGUGUUAGAUUAUUAGAUUAAAAAUUAGAUUCUGUCCUUGCCUUUUCCUGCUGUGCCUGACUGCCUGGGGACUCUGACACGUGGGAGCUGGGAGGCACGAUUCCAUCUGGGUGAAAGCACAGGAGGACAGUGUUUGAC